rnacentral:rRNA from 1 species
AUUGCCUCAGUAACGGCGAGUGAAGCGGCAACAGCUCAAAUUUGAAAUCUGGCCUCGGCCCGAGUUGUAAUUUGUAGAGGAAGCUUUUGGUGCGGCACCGACCGAGUCCCCUGGAACGGGGCGCCAUAGAGGGUGAGAGCCCCGUAUGGUUGGACGCCUAUCCUCUGUAAAGCUCCUUCGACGAGUCGAGUAGUUUGGGAAUGCUGCUCAAAAUGGGAGGUAAAUUUCUUCUAAAGCUAAAUACCGGCCAGAGACCGAUAGCGCACAAGUAGAGUGAUCGAAAGAUGAAAAGCACUUUGAAAAGAGGGUUAAAUAGCACGUGAAAUUGUUGAAAGGGAAGCGCUUGUGACCAGACUUGCGCCUCGCCGAUCAUCCGGGGUUCUCCCCGGUGCACUCGGCGGGGCUCAGGCCAGCAUCGGUUUCCGCGGGGGGACAAAGGCCCCGGGAACGUAGCUCCUCCGGGAGUGUUAUAGCCCGGGGCGUAAUGCCCUCGCGGGGACCGAGGACCGCGCUUCGGCAAGGAUGCUGGCGUAAUGGUCAUCAGCGACCCGUCUUGAAACACGGACCAAGGAGUCAAGGUUUUGCGCGAGUGUCUGGGUGUAAAACCCGCACGCGUAAUGAAAGUGAACGUAGGUGAGAGCUUCGGCGCAUCAUCGACCGAUCCUGAUGUAUUCGGACGGAUUUGAGUAGGAGCGUUAAGCCUUGGACCCGAAAGAUGGUGAACUAUGCUUGGAUAGGGUGAAGCCAGAGGAAACUCUGGUGGAGGCUCGCAGCGGUUCUGACGUGCAAAUCGAUCGUCAAAUCUGAGCAU